GUGAGGAAUAUUGCGCAAUGGACGAAAGUCUGACGCAGCCAUGCCGCGUGAAGGAUUGACGGCCCUAUGGGUUGUAAACUUCUUUUGUAUAGGAAUAAACCCUCGUUCGUGAACGAGGCUGAAGGUACUAUAAGAAUAAGCACCGGCUAACUCCGUGCCAGCAGCCGCGGUAAUACGGAGGGUGCAAGCGUUAUCCGGAUUUAUUGGGUUUAAAGGGUCCGUAGGCGGAUCGUUAAGUCAGUGGUGAAAUCCUACCGCUCAACGGUGGAACUGCCAUUGAUACUGGCGAUCUUGAGUAUGUAUGAAGUUGGCGGAAUGUGUGGUGUAGCGGUGAAAUGCUUAGAUAUCACACAGAACACCGAUUGCGAAGGCAGCUGACUAAUACACAACUGACGCUGAGGGACGAAAGUGUGGGGAUCAAACAGGAUUAGAUACCCCAGUAGUCC
rnacentral:rRNA from 1 species